UAGGGAAUCUUCGGCAAUGGGGGCAACCCUGACCGAGCAACGCCGCGUGAGUGAAGAAGGUUUUCGGAUCGUAAAGCUCUGUUGUAAGAGAAGAACGUGUGUGAGAGUGGAAAGUUCACACAGUUACGGUAACUUACCAGAAAGGGACGGCUAACUACGUGCCAGCAGCCGCGGUAAUACGUAGGUCCCGAGCGUUGUCCGGAUUUAUUGGGCGUAAAGCGAGCGCAGGCGGUUUAAUAAGUCUGAAGUUAAAGGCAGUGGCUUAACCAUUGUUCGAUUUGGAAACUGUUAAACUUGAGUGCAGAAGGGGAGAGUGGAAUUCCAUGUGUAGCGGUGAAAUGCGUAGAUAUAUGGAGGAACACCGGUGGCGAAAGCAGCUCUCUGGUCUGUAACUGACGCUGAGGCUCGAAAGCGUGGGGAGCAAACAGG
rnacentral:rRNA from 1 species